rnacentral:rRNA from 1 species
UACGAAGGGGGCUAGCGUUGCUCGGAAUGACUGGGCGUAAAGGGCGCGUAGGCGGCACACAUAGUCAGGCGUGAAAUUCCUGGGCUUAACCUGGGGGCUGCGUUUGAUACAUGUGAGCUAGAGGAUGGAAGAGGCUCGUGGAAUUCCCAGUGUAGAGGUGAAAUUCGUAGAUAUUGGGAAGAACACCUGUGGUGUAGACAGCUUACUGGACCAUUUCUGACGCUGAGACACGAAAGCGUGGGUAGCAAACAGG